AUAUACAUAAGAGAAAAACAAGCUGAAAGAGAGUUGAAGAUGUCGUGAAUAGAAGAGUACAGGAUAUAGGGUAUAGGUGCGUUCAUGGUGAGUGGAAGUAAGAGAGAGAGAGAGAGGGGUUUUGUUAAAUAAAGAGGAAGAAAGGGGAGAGCCCGAAUUGGCGUUUUGUUUUCUUCCCCGAAAGCGAGAGUGGAUUCUGAGAUCACAUGUAUCAAAACAAAUAAGGUCG
rnacentral:lncRNA from 1 species